rnacentral:rRNA from 1 species
AUACGUAGGGGGCGAGCGUUGUCCGGAAUGAUUGGGCGUAAAGGGCGCGUAGGCGGCCUGUUAAGUCUGGAGUGAAAGUCCUGUUUUCAAGGUGGGAAUUGCUUUGGAUACUGCCGCGCUUGAGUGCAGGAGAGGUUAUCGGAAUUCCCGGUGUAGCGGUGAAAUGCGUAGAGAUCGGGAGGAACACCAGUGGCGAAGGCGGGUAACUGGACUGCAACUGACGCUGAGGCGCGAAAGUGUGGGGAGCAAACAGGAUUAGAUACCCUGGUAGUCCACACUGUAAACGAUGAAUGCUAGGUGUAAGAGGUAUCGACCCCUUUUGUGCCGGAGUCAACACAAUAAGCAUUCCGCCUGGGGAGUACGGUCGCAAGAUUAAAACUCAAAUGAAUUGACGGGG